UGCGCCACUCGCGCGGGGGCUGGGGAAGGGGCGGGGCGCCGAGGGGAGCCCGGGCUGAACCACUUGGCGAGGCGGAGGGAGGGCGCGGAGGUAACGCGCCUCUCCUGCGGACAUUUACCUAUCUUAGGCAGUUAUAACAAAGGUAUGUGUAAUGCAGUGGUCAAGAGUAGGGGUUUUGGAGUCAUGCCUCUGCCACUUUUUAACUGUAUUGAGCCAACAACCUUUCCACACCUCCGGGUCCUCAGUCUUCAAAAUUGGAAUAAUAGUACCAUCACAGGAUUAUUUCAAGAAUUAAAUUGUGUGCAGCACCUAGCACAUCGUAAGUAUUAAAAAAAAAAAGUUAACUGUAAGAAAAUUAGUUGUAUUUUUUGCAAAUAACCCUUCAGUGGCUUCCACUUGCUACUAGUAUAAAGACUAUGCAAAGUCCUUACAUAGUCUUAAAGGCCAUUGUGUGAUUUGGCUGCUACUUCUUUGAUUGCAGAGCCCUGGUGGCACAGUGGUUAAGUGCUACCACUGUACAGUUCGAAUCCACCAGUCUCUUCUUUGAAACCCUAUGGGGCUGUUCUACUCUAUCCUAUAGUGUUGCUCUGAGUCGGAAUUUACUCGGUGGCAACGGGUAUGGUUUUCUUUAAUCACAUCUGUGCCACUCUCCCCCUCUUUCUGUCUUGCACUCUGGAUUUCUUUUAGUAACAGGUCAGUUUGUUUAGUAUCAAGGCAAAUCAGGACACAAUAUUGAUUAUGUAUUGUUUGCACUUUCCCUUCUUCCUUUCCACAAAUAUUUAUGAGCACCUUUGUGAGGCCAGCUCUGGGAUUGCUGCUAUGACGGACAUGGUUCCUUCCUGUGAGGGGGCGCUCUAAGUAAGAGAAGAUACUUAGCUAACACCUUCUUAUCCUUCCCAUCCCAGCUCAGCUGCCACUUCCUGAACGAAACCUUCAUCUGCAGAGAUUCUCAAAGGGUCUUCUAUUCUCCUUCAUGGCACUAAGUACAGUUUGAAACUACAGAUUUGGUGAUUAUUUUAUGGACGUUUCUAACCCCCAAUUAGGCUUUGCAAGCUUCAUGAAGAUGAGAAGGUGGUCUCUUUUGCUGGAGCUUUGUUUGCUAGGUGCCUGGCAGAGAACCUAGAACCUAGUGAGGUGCUUAACGUUCAAGGAGAAGGAGAGAGAAGGGAGGGAGGAAGGGACGGAAACAAAAGGAAAGAAUGAAUAUUAAAGAUGGAAGAAGGAAGUGGGGGAAAUGAGAGACCCUGGCGAUUAUGCAAAAUUAAUGAAAAGAGGCCCUACUUUGUUUUAAAUCAAAGCAUUAUACAGAAUAACACUGAGAGCCCUUUACUAACAGGGAAGCACAUGGCCAUUCUGUUCUAAAAAGGAAUAGAUUUCUGAUUUCAUAGGUUAGUGCCCUAAGGGUAAGAAAAGCCAGGAUAGUUAUUGGUUUAUUUCAUACUUAACAUUAAUGAGAUUUGUUUAAUGCAAUUUCCCAACCCAUAGUACAUUUAACAGUAGCAAUAGUCCUAUGAAAGAAGAAAGUUGGGACUGGAUAAAUUGGUGUUUGUGAAUUAGGCAGCAAAUGUAACAACUCUGGUCAAGGAGAGAGUUCCAGUGAGGGUACGUUUGCACUGUGAGAAGCUGUUGAUUUGGCCAGAGAAAAAAGGAAGGUGAUUCCAGGUAUAGCAAAGAGCAGUAAUAAAGGUGUGGAGAUGUUGCGGAGGAAGCUCUUAGACUGUGAAUUUAAGAUAGUACUUUCUUUGUGAAGACAGGCCAAGAAGAGAGAAAUCUAGGGCAGAUGCCUCCAAAAUUGUGCCAGUCCUUUGGGCCAAAACUCAGACAUCUCAGAAGGCCUUGGAAACAAACCAGCUCUAAUGAGAUCAGAAACAAGUACUACGUGAAUUCCCUUAUUUUUAGGCUUCUUGUAUUUUGUUUUUAUUUUUCUCGCCUGAUAAUUAGGUAAAUCUUUUGACAAUCCCAGUAAAGAAGUGAGGGAUGGAAGAAUGCAAAAGGUACAGGGGAGAAGACAUUGAAGGAGACAGUAAUAGAAUGAUAAUAGCUAGAGUUUUAUUUGUUAGACGCUGUUCUAAUAUCUUCUACUGAGAACAACUCUUGUGAGAUAGAUAAUGCUGUUUUUCAGGUGAACCAACUGACCAAAAAAAAAAAAAAACAAAACCCAUUGCAAUCAAGUCAAAUCUGACUCUUGGUGACCCUAUAGGACAGAGUAGAACUGCCCCUUAGGGUUUCCAAGACUGUAAUCUGUAGAAAAGCAGACUGCCACAUCUUUCUCCCAUGGAGUGGCUGGUGGGUUCAAACUGCCAAGCUGCCUAACCACUGCCCCACCAGGGCUCCUUGAAGCAAUUGAUACGUAAUUUGUCCAGAUUGCAAUCAAGUCAGUAGUGGAGCUGGGCCUGAGCUGUAAAUUCAUGCUUCUUGUUACAGGUAUGAAUAAACACAUCAAUGAAUUCCUCACAUUCCUUAAGGUAAUUAAUAAUAGUAGUCUGGUUUGUACCCUUCUGUAUGUUUUUCUAUGAACACACAUAAACAGACCUACAUUUCCCUGAACCCUGGAAUUUUCUUGUCAUAGUUUUCAUGGCCACCUCUCCAGGACGCUACUUCAGAUAUAAAUCAUUCUUAAUGGCUGAAAAAUACACUAUAGUAUGACUGUCAUACAGCUCAUUCAGCUGUUGCUUUAUAGAGAUUCAAGUUGUUUCUCAUGUUUGCCCUACAUGCAGUGCUGAACCUUCGAACACAUGGUUUCGUGAACCAAUGUUUUCAUUUAUGUGAAAAAGAUUUUCCAAAGUGGAAUUGCUGAGACAAGGGAUAUAUGCAUACUUUAGUAGUUACAGUCAGGUUACUUUCCAAAUGGCUGGCAAAACUCACAUUCCUAUCAGCAGGGCAUGAGAAUAUCAUUUCCUGACUCUCUCACCAGUACUGGGUGUUAUCACUCCUUUUAAUUUUUGUUAGUAUGACAUGUGAAAAAUGGUAAGACAGUAUUUUUAUAAUCUUGGGAGACCUUUACAAGCAAGAUAGAACAUCCAGAAGCCACAAAGGAAAAGAUUGAUAGACUUAGCUACAUAAAAAUGAAAAAUUACUGCAGAAGUAAAAUCAAAAGACAAAGAAUUUGUAACACAUAUGACAGACAAAUGGCUAGUACAAAUUGAUAAGAAAAUGAAAAAAAGCCCAAUGAAAACUAGAAAAAAGUGGGUAAUUCUUCAAGGAGGCACUGCACAUGGAAAAUAAACGUAUGAAAAGGUGUUCAACUCCAUUGAUAGGGAAAUGAACUCAUCCGUUUGUAAGGUAAGUUUGGGAAAAAAAGGAGAGGGGCUGUGGAAAUGGGAGGGAGUAGGAGAUAAAAUCUGAAAAAUAGAAUACUUUCGUUCCCCACCCCCAUCCCCCUGCCCGCAUUAGUGUAGCCUCUGGUGGAGCCUCCAUGAUUCUGAUGAUGUUUUCCAAAAUUUCUAAUGGUACAAUUCGUGGGGAUGUACAAUGUCCAAGUACUAGAAUUCAAAUCUCUCUCCUACCUAAGUGUGGAACUCUCUGGAUUGAGCAAAGCCUACUUGAGGCCAAAGGCUGUAAUGGCUCAACGAUCAGUGACUCUUGUUAGGAUUUAUGUUCACCAUUCCUGUUGCUGCCUAGUGCAGCCACUUGGCUAUUGUCUAAAGCUAUGGCUCUAUUCACUUGAAUCACCAAUAUCUUUGUUGGAAUAAAUUGAGAUUGUUUCUGUUAUCGUGUAGGUAUCACACCUGCUGUCUUCACUUAUCUGAAGGCUGGUGACAUUCUCUAGAGAUAACCUAUCAGUUGCGGGCCUACCUCUUUAGACCCUCCCCCAGCCCUUCAAGAAGGUACACCCUCACCUCUUGAGACUGGUCUUUGUUUAGAUUUGCCCUGAACCCAGAGCUGAACCGCUGGAUGAUUCCUGACAUGGUCCUAUGAGUGCACUCACUUGCUUUUGCUCCCAUCUCCAGCUUCGCUUGCUUGGUACCUGGGCCUCUCUGACCUACCUUUUCAUCUCUGAUUCUUUUUCUCCUUUCUUUUGACUCAGUGCAUUUGGACCCACCUCCUGCUGACUCAUUUCUGGCUUGGCCUCAGGAUCCUUCCACUGAAAACUCCUCCACAGGUAGCCAAAGACCCAGCCCCAUACCCCUGGGUAACUGUGGCUGUUGGGGUAGUAUCAGGAAGGAAUUCCUGUAUUUUUUUUUUUUUUUGCCUUGCCCAACUCUGCUGUGUGGGACGACACAGCUGCCCUGAGGACAGAGAAUGUUGAUUUGGUGGGGCAGCUGGGAGCAUCUGGCCCUCCCUUCAGUGGUGAUGCCUUCAGAAUUCAUGGAGACCUUACAUUCUUGCCAGAGCCUGUCAUACAGAGGCCUGCUGUCUAACCUGCCAAUCUUGGAUUCACCAGCCCCUGCAGCUACAUGAUGUACAGUGGAGUUUUCCAGCAAGGAACUAAGGAAGACCUCCAGUCAAAAGCCAGCAAGGAACUGAGACCCUCAGUUGAACAACCCAUGAGGAACUGAAUCCUGCCAACGACUACAUGAGUAAGCUUGGAAUAGGAUCCUUCCUCAGUAGGAGGAAGGAUGAGACCUCAGCCCCAACCAACACCUUGAUUGGAGCCUGUGAGAGACUACCAGCCAGAGGAGACAUCUAAGCUACACCUAGAUUCCUAACCUAUGGGAAUAUGUGCCCAGGCCAGAACUGGGAGUGGCGAAGGGGCUGGAAUCAGGACUCAGAGUUCCUUAGCCAACUAUUCAGGACCUAGACUUCCUUGGCCAACUAUUUCAAGCAAACCAGGAAAUCUGGAGAUCGGCAGUUCCAGAGUGUAGCUCAGCAGUUCCACAAAAUCCGGAUGUUGAUUUGGCAUCUCUGCAAUUUUCAUGGUCUUCCCCUCAUUGUCACAAGAUGGCUGCAUCAGCUCCAGGCAUCACAUCCUCACAUGAUCACAUCCAAAGGCAGGAAGCAGCAGAAUGACAAGGAAGGCAUGCAAGGGCAGUUAUUAGCAUACUUCUUUAAAUUUAUCAGAAAGAGAAAAAUCUUUUCUAAAAUCCACUAAGAAGAUAUCCUCUCAAGCUCAUUGGUCAGCACUGGUUCAUAGGUCACGUGACCACCCCUGGCUGCAAUGGAGGUGGGUAAGAGAGAAGGUAGGAAGUGGCUGUUGCAUAGUCAAUGUGAGUGCUGCCACAUACCCAAAGAUGGCUAUGGCUAGAUGGUGGAUUGGGGCCGUGAAGUGCUGGAGACCAACUGUACUGCACUGCCUGGUGACUGUGCCCAUCUCUUUCCUACUCAGCAGUCACUGAUGUCACAUUGGUACCUUGAGACUGCCCAUGGUGGGAGCAUUUACACGACACAAAUGGGCAAACACUAAGAAUCACAGCUUUCUUUUUGAGAGCAGUUUCAUCACCACAUCACUGAUUAGAGGUGAUUUUUAUUAUUUUACUUAUACAUUUCCGUGUUUUCUAUAAUAAACGGAUUAAUUUUAUAAUCAGAAAAAACAAGUUUCUUUUAAAAGAAGAGGACCACUUAAGCUUAAGGUAAACAGUAGAGUUAAAGAAAAAAUGAUAUUUUGAGUUCAGGCAAAUCCAGACCCCAGAUCAGAGGUAGCUGCAGAGUCAGCUGGUAACUCAGCCUGCACAGCUAAAUCCCCCUUGAGGACCACAGGAGCUAGCCUUCUUAGUUACUAGGGAUAGGCGCCGAGGCAGAGACUCCUGGGCCUCUUCUGAUUUAGGGCGGGCCCUUUAUUAAAUAAGAGGAGUGCUGGUGGUGCAGUGGUUAAAGUGCUUGGCUACUAACCGAAAGAAAAGGUAGGCGGUUUGAACCCACCAGUUGCUCUGCGGGAGAAAGGUAUGGCAGUCUGCUUCCAUACAGAUUACAGCCUUGGAAGCCCUGUGGGGCAGUUCUCCUCUGUUCUAUAGGGUUGCUAUGAGUUGGAAUCCACUUGAUGGCAGCGGGUUUGGUUUUGGUUUUUAUUAAACAAUAAAGAAUGCCAGAUCAGGAUUAGAAAAUUGUGAUAUAUUUUAAAUGUUCACCUGUAACCAACUAAUGCUUUAACAUAAAAGAGUGCAUAAAAAAAAUUUUUUUUAAGUGCAAUAAAAUAUAGUACUUUUCGCAGAAUUUUUAAUGAAAUAUGAAUCCAUUGUGCAUUACGGCAGUGGGGCCGGUCAAUAGGACACAAGUUCAAAUCUGACUGAUAAAUGUCUUUUUCUCAUUCCUCUCUGGGUCUCUUUGUCACUGUAUGUAUAAUCCUAUCUAGAGAAAACAUCAAGAGUCCAGAGACCUGUUGUGAAAGUGAAGCCCAAGCCCGGCUGCCCUCCUGCCCUGACUCUGUACCCCCCUCCAUUAUAGGUCCCGGAUGGAAGCCUUUUGGGACCUGAGAGAGAACACAGUCUGUUUGAGAAUCUGGUCAGAAUGACCCCUCCUGAAAAUGUAUUUUGGUUUCAUGGAUGGACAGAAAUGUCCCCAAAUGUCCAAUUCUCAGUUUUUUGCUCUUUUCUCUUUCCAUGUUAUUGGAGAUCUCCUCUACUUUCUAGAUUCAGCAAUUACAUCUCUACGGAUGUCCCUAAAAUCCUUGCCAUACAGAUAUGGCCUACUCAGCCUAAAAUAUUUGCUAAGAGACCCUUUACAAAAAAGUGUGGUGACCUGUGACUUAAACCGACAAAAUAUUUGCUAUUUACUUAAGAAAUCUGGAGAUGGGCAGUUCCAGAGUGUAGUUAAGCAGUUCUACAAAGUCCAAGUGUUGAAAAGCACAUGCAAUUCUCAUGGUCUUCACCUCAUACUUAAAAGACAGCUGCAUCGAUGACAUCUCAUGUGAAUUCUCUCCUAAACUCUUAAGGGACACUUGCCUGAGGGACAGUUCCGCUUCCAUGUCUGACCAAAGUUGACCCCAAAGCUCAAUGCUUCAGAAUGACUCACCACUCUUCCAUCUCCCAGACUUGAAACCUAGAAUGAUUUUCAACUUCUACCCGUACCUUGAUGUAGAUACCUAGUUAGUUACCGUGUCAUAGUCACCCACUGUUGGUGAUGGCUUUCACAGUCACCCGUUGAUUCUGGCUGUAAGCUGGCAGUGAGUGUACAACCAUCACACAGAUUGGGCAGAAUGGAACCCCACCAGGAAGAGGCCAGUGUCUGCUGUACAGAAGUCUGUUACAGACAUCAAAACUAGUCAGUUUUGGGGCCAACUGGAGCAAUGAGAAGGGAUGGGGAGCUUGUGCUCAAGGUCAAUGCCAGAUUCCCAGGGUAAGAUGGGAUCAAACAGCAGGGCAAGCAUGAAAAUCGAAGAUACGAGCCAAGUGCAGACCUCAGGUCUGAAUUGGUAGGGGCUGAUGAGGGGCUCCAUUCAUCCUUGCAGCAACCCAUUAGCUAGAUGGUGACAUUUGGCAUUUGUUCAGUGCCUUUGGUUUUUGUUUUGUUUCAUGUGAUACUUUUAGCAAUCCAGUGAAGUGGUCAGAGCCAUAUCUGGCGAUGAGAAAACUGGGGCCAAGAGAGAUCAAACUGACUACCCGAAGUCACCCAAGUCCUCAUUAGUCAAAUUGCGGCCCAUCAGUAUCAGCUGGUAGCUUGCUAGGAAUGUAGGAUCUUUGGCCCAUCCCAGGCCCACUGGACCAGAAUCUGCAUUUUAACAAGAAUCCCAGGAGAUUCAUGGACACAUUAAAGCUGCUCUAGAUGGUUGGCAGCUCAAACCCACCCAGUGGCACCACAGAAGAAAAUGCCUAGCCAUCUGCUUCCGUUAAGAUUACAGCCAAGAGGCCCCAGAUAAAUAAGGCAUUACUGAAAAAGAAGAACAAAGUGGGAGGCCUCACUCUACCUGUUAGAACCUAUUAUAUUGCCACAGUAGUCAAAACAGCCUGGUACUGGUAUAACAACAGGUACAUAGACCAAUGGAACAGAAUUGAGAAUCCAGACAUAGAUCCACCCACAUAUGAGCAAUUGAUAUCUGACAAAGGCCCCAAAACAGUUAAAUGGGGAAAAGACAGUCUUUUUAACAUAUGGUGCUGGCAUAACUGGAUAUCCAUCUCCAAAAAAAUGAAACAAGACCCAUACCUCCAUGCACAAAAGCAAGCUCAAAAUGGAUCAAAGACCUAAAUAUAAAAUCUAAAACAAUGAAGAUCAUGGAAGAAAAAAUAGGGACAAUGUUAGGAGCCUUAAUACAUGGCAUAAACAGUAUACAAAACAUUAAGAAUGCAGAAGAAAAACUAGAUAACUGGGAGUUCCUAAAAAUCAAACACCUAUGCUCAUCCAAAGACUUCACCAGAAGAGUAAAAAGACUAGCUACAGACUGGGAAAAAGUUUUUAGCUAUGACAUUUCUGAUCAGCGCCUGAUCUCUAAAAUCUACAUGAUACUGCAAAAACUCAACUACAAAAAGACAACCCAAUUAAAAAAUGGGCAAAAGAUAUGAACAGACACUUCACUAAAGAAGACAUUCAGGUAGCUAACAGAUACAUGAGGAAAUGCUCACAAUCAUUAGCCAUUAGAGAAAUGCAAAUUAAAAGUACAAUGAGAUUCCAUCUCACUCCAACAAGGCUGGCAUUAAUUUUUUUUUUUUUUUUUUGGAGUCCACAACAUUUAUUUUCUCCCAAGGUUUACAAUUAUGGGGCAGAGGGAAGAAGGCUGAAGGCAAAGGUGGAAGUUACUUUGCAGGUCAUGAGUCAGAUGGGGAAAUAAAGGGUCAUGCCUCUCCUACAGGAAUGCUGAAACCUGAAAGGAUCCCUGAGGACAUGUGGUGCACACUGGGGCCCCUGUAGCAUUUGCCACUGAAGAGAUGCUUGAACAAUGACAGCCAAGCAGGCAGAGUGGGGAAGAGUGAACCAGCAAGUACACUCAGCCCAGUGUUGUCUGUGAGUUGUCCUUGCUUGGCUCUGAACCAGUCAUCUUCUUUGAGAGGUGCCCACCUUGGAAAAUCUGAGUGGUCCUUUAUAGCAGUGGUUCUUAAAAGUUAGGAGUUUUUGGGUGGUCCAAACAGUCAACUCGCUUGGUGGCUAACUGAAAGUUUGGCAGUUGGAGUCCUUCCAGAGGCUCCUCAGGAGACAGUUCUGGUGAUCUACAUCUGAAAUAUCACCCAUGGGGUCACCAUGAGUUGGAAUCAACUCAGCAGCAAUGGGUUUGGUUCUUAAAAGUUAAGCACGUACCAGAAUCUCCCAGAGGGCUUGUUCAAACACACAUUUCUGGGCCCCAUUCCUAAAGGGCUGGCAUUAAUUAAAAAAACACAAAAUAAAUGUUGGAGAGGUUGUGGAGAAACUGGAACACUUAUACACUGCUGGUGGGAAUGUAAAAUGGCGCAACCACUUUGGAAAUCAAUUCAGUGCUUCCUUAAAAAGCUAGAAAUAGAACUACCAUAUGAUCCAGCAAUCCCACUCCUUGGAAUAUAUCCUAGAGAAAUAAGAACCUUUACAUGAACAGAUACACGCACACCCAUGUUCACUGCAGCACUGUUUACAAUAGCAAAAAGAUGGAAGCAACCAAGGUGCCCAUGAAUGGAUGAAUGGGUAAAUAAAUUAUGGUACAUUCACACAAUGGAAUGCUACGCAUCGAUAAAAAACAGUUAUGAAUCAGUGAAACAUUUCACAACAUGGAGGAAUCUGGAAGGCAUCUGGCUGAGUGAAAUUAGUAAGCUGCAAAAGGACAAAUAUUGUAUAAAACCACUAUUAUAAGAACUCAAGGAAUAGUUUAAACUGAGAAGAAAAUAUUCUUUGAUGGUUACGAGUGGGGAGGGAGGGAGAAGGGUAUUCACUAAUUAGUAGAUAAGAACUACUUUAGGUGAAGGGAAAGACAACACACAAUACAGGAGAGGGCAGCACAACUGGACUAAACCAAAAGCAGAGAAGUUUCCUGAAUAAACUGAAUGCUUGGAAGGCCAGCAUAGCAGGGGCGGGGGUUUGGGGACCAUGGUUUCAGGGGACAUCUAAGUCCAUUGGCAUAAUGAAAUCUAUUAAGAAAACAUUCUGCAUCCCACUUUGGAGAGUGGCAUCUGGGGUCUUAAAUGCUAGCAAGCGGCCACCUAAGAUGCAUCAAUUGGUCUCAACCCACCUGGAUCAAAGGAGAAUGAAGAACACCAAGGACACAAGGUAAUUAUGAGCCCAAGAUACAGAAAGGACCAUAUAAACCAGAGACUACAUCAGCCUGAGACAAGAACUAGAUGGUGCCUGGCCACAACCGAUGACUGCCCUGACAGGGAACAUAACAGAGAACCCCUGAGGGGGCAGGAGAGCAGUGGCACGCAGACCCCAAAUUCUCAUAAAAAGACCAGACUUAAUGGUCUGACUGAGACUAGAAGGACCUCGGAAGUCAUGGUCCCCAGACCUUCUGUUAGCCCAAGACAGGAACCAUUCCCAAAGCCAACUCUCAGACAGGGAUUGGACUGGACAAUGGGAUAGAAAAAGAUGCUGAUGAAGAAUGAGCUUCUUAGAUCAAGUAGACACUUGAGACUAUGUUGGCAUCUCCUAUCUGGAGGGGAGAUGAGAGGGCAGAGGGGGUUAGAAGCUGGCAGAAUGGACACGAAAAGAGAGAGUGGAGGGAAGGAGCGGGCUGUCUCAUUAGGGGGAAAGUGAUUAGGAGUAUGUAAAAAAAAAAAAGCAUAUAUAAAUUUUGUGUGACUGACUGACUUGAUUUGUAAACUUUCACUUAAAGCACAAAAAAAAAAAAAAAGAUUACAGCCAAAAAACCACAUGGAGGAGUUCUACUGUGCAGCACAUGGGGUCACCAUGAGUCAGAAUCGACUUGAUGACAGCUGAGACAGAGCCACCACAGUGUUGUAUUAAAAAAUUGUUUCCUUUGCUGGGCUCCACUCCACCCAGCUUUGCAUUUGAAUCCUGCUUUUGCUUGGAGGUUAUAUGUAAACACCAUUGCGCCUGCAUAAUAUGUUUAAGAAUGUUGCUGACAUAACUUGUAUGAACUCCCUACUUGUAAACCCCUUUAAAUGUUACUUGCCUGCCCAUCCUUGGUGAGCAGUCUUGGCAGCAACAGCUCCCUAUGACUCCUUUCCUUGUACAACGAAAUAAAGGUACCUUUCUUGUUCUCCCACCCUGGUCUCUUUUCUAUUGCCCAACACGUCAUGCGGAGUGAAAACCUGGGGUUUCCACCCAGUAACACAACCAACAAUGACAGGUAGCUAUUGGAGGAGUCUGUACUAGAAACCAGCCUCACAUGGCUAAGUAAAAAAAAAAAAUUUUUUUUUUUUUU